rnacentral:rRNA from 1 species
AUCGCUAGUAAUCGCAGAUCAGAAUGCUGCGGUGAAUACGUUCCCGGGUCUUGUACACACCGCCCGUCACACCAUGGGAGUUGACAACGCCCGAAGUCAGUGACCUAACCGAAAGGAAGGAGCUGCCGAAGGCGGGGUUGAUAACUGGGGGUGAAGUCGUAACAAGGUAAC